rnacentral:tRNA from 2 species
GCCUGGUUAGCUCAAUCGGUAGAGCGUGAGACUCUUAAUCUCAAGGUUGCGGGUUCGACCCCCGCGCUGGGCU